AGGCGAACAAUGUUCUUAAAGUUUGACCUCAAAUCAGGUAGGAGUACCCGCUGAACUUAAGCAUAUCAAUAAGCGGAGGAAAAGAAACCAACCGGGAUUGCCUUAGUAACGGCGAGUGAAGCGGCAAAAGCUCAAAUUUGAAAUCUGGUACCUUUGGUGCCCGAGUUGUAAUUUGGAGAGGGCAACUUUGGGACCGUUCCUUGUCUAUGUUCCUUGGAACAGGACGUCAUAGAGGGUGAGAAUCCCGUGUGGCGAGGAGUGCGGUUCUAUGUAAAGUGCCUUCGAAGAGUCGAGUUGUUUGGGAAUGCAGCUCUAAGUGGGUGGUAAAUUCCAUCUAAAGCUAAAUAUUGGCGAGAGACCGAUAGCGAACAAGUACAGUGAUGGAAAGAUGAAAAGAACUUUGAAAAGAGAGUGAAAAAGUACGUGAAAUUGUUGAAAGGGAAGGGCAUUUGAUCAGACAUGGUGUUUUGCGCCCUCUGCUCCUUGUGGGUGGGGGAAUCUCGCAGUUCACUGGGCCAGCAUCAGUUUUGGUGGCAGGAUAAAUCCGUAGGAAUGUAACUUGCUUCGGGAAGUAUUAUAGCCUAUGGGAAUACUGCCAGCUGGGACUGAGGACUGCGACGUAAGUCAAGGAUGCUGGCAUAAUGGUUAUAUGCCGCC
rnacentral:rRNA from 1 species